GGAAGGAUCAUUACCAAGCCGUGAGGGUUGCCUCCCCAAAAGGGAUGGCGAUCUUUCACCUGGCCACCCUUGUUUACCCUUAACCUGUUGCUUUGGUGGGCCCGCUGAAAGGCCGCCGGGCGAUCUUUAGUCUCCGGGCGAGCGCUCACCAAAGUCAUUCUUGAACUCUGAAGGUGUUUGGUGCUGUCUGAGCUUUGCAAAUAGCAUAUAAUUGUUUAUAAAACUUUCAACAACGGAUCUCUUGGUUCUGGCAUCGAUGAAGAACGCAGCGAAAUGCGAUAAGUAAUGUGAAUUGCAGAAUUCCGUGAAUCAUCGAAUCUUUGAACGCAUAUUGCGCCCUUUGGCAUUCCGAGGGGCAUGCCUGUCCGAGCGUCAUUAAUCAUUAAUCAAGCACGGCUUGUUGUUGAGCAUCCUUUGUCCCCGACCCCCCUCUUUUUUGUUGGGGGAGGGACAGGCUUGAAAUGCAGUGGCGAUCGCUGAGAUUGGUUGCUCGAGUGUAUAGGGCUCCGUCACACACUCUGGUUGGCUCCAGCUCGCAUUCUGCCAUAACCCUUUUUUUUUAGUCUGAUUGACCUCGGAUCAGGCAGGAAAACCCGCUGAACUUAAGCAUAUCAAUAAGCGGAGGAAAAGAAACCAACAGGGAUUGCCUCAGUAACGGCGAGUGAAGCGGCAAAAGCUCAAAUUUGAAAUCUGGCUUCCAGUUUCUGGAGUCCGAGUUGUAAUUUGCAGAGGAUGCUUUGGGUGUCGGUUGUGGUUUAAGUUCCUUGGAACAGGGCAUCGUAGAGGGUGAGAAUCCCGUCUAGAGCCGCCAACCUAGCCCAUGUAAAGCUCCUUCGACGAGUCGAGUUGUUUGGGAAUGCAGCUCUAAAUGGGUGGUAAAUUUCAUCUAAAGCUAAAUACUGGCCAGAGACCGAUAGCGCACAAGUAGAGUGAUCGAAAGAUGAAAAGCACUUUGAAAAGAGAGUUAAACAGCAUGUGAAAUUGUUGAAAGGGAAGCGCUUGCGACCAGACUCGCCUGCGGCAGGCUCAGCCGGCAUGCUUUGCCGGUGCACUCCUACGCAGUCGGGCCAGCGUCGGUUCUGAUGGUUGGUUAAAGACUUCUGGAAUGUGUCGUCUCUCCGGGGGCGUCUUAUAGCCGGAGGUGUAAUGCAGCCCGUUGGGACCGAGGAUCGCGCUUCGGCACGGACGCUGGCGUAAUGGUCGUAAGCGACCCGUCUUGAAACACGGACCAAGGAGUCUAACAUCCACGCGAGUGUUCGGGUGUUAAACCCGUGCGCGCAGUGAAAGCGAACGGAGGUGGGAACUCCUUUGUGGAGUGCACCAUCGACCGAUCCUGAUGUCUUCGGAUGGAUUUGAGUAAGAGCGUGGCUGUUGGGACCCGAAAGAUGGUGAACUAUGCCUGAAUAGGGUGAAGCCAGAGGAAACUCUGGUGGAGGCUCGCAGCGGUUCUGACGUGCAAAUCGAUCGUCAAAUUUGGGUAUAGGGGCGAAAGACUAAUCGAACCAUCUGGUAGCUGGUUCCUGC
rnacentral:misc_RNA from 1 species